rnacentral:rRNA from 1 species
GACGAACGCUGGCGGCGUGCCUAAUACAUGCAAGUAGAACGCUGAAGAGAGGAGCUUGCUCUUCUUGGAUGAGUUGCGAACGGGUGAGUAACGCGUAGGUAACCUGCCUUGUAGCGGGGGAUAACUAUUGGAAACGAUAGCUAAUACCGCAUAACAAUGAAUGACACAUGUCAUUUAUUUGAAAGGGGCAAUUGCUCCACUACAAGAUGGACCUGCGUUGUAUUAGCUAGUAGGUGAGGUAACGGCUCACCUAGGCGACGAUACAUAGCCGACCUGAGAGGGUGAUCGGCCACACUGGGACUGAGACACGGCCCAGACUCCUACGGGAGGCAGCAGUAGGGAAUCUUCGGCAAUGGGGGCAACCCUGACCGAGCAACGCCGCGUGAGUGAAGAAGGUUUUCGGAUCGUAAAGCUCUGUUGUAAGUCAAGAACGAGUGUGAGAGUGGAAAGUUCACACUGUGACGGUAGCUUACCAGAAAGGGACGGCUAACUACGUGCCAGCCGCCGCAGUAA